CCUACGGGUGGCAGCAGUGGGGAAUAUUGCGCAAUGGGCGAAAGCCUGACGCAGCGACGCCGCGUGAGGGAUGAAGGUCUUCGGAUCGUAAACCUCUGUCAGCAGGGAAGAACGGUCACUGUGCUAAUCAGCAGUGAAUUGACGGUACCUGCAAAGGAAGCACCGGCUAACUCCGUGCCAGCAGCCGCGGUAAUACGGAGGGUGCGAGCGUUAAUCGGAAUUAAUGGGCGUAAAGCGCUCGUAGGCGGUUUGUCAAGUCCAGGGUGAAAUCCCCGCGCUCAACGUGGGAACUGCCUUUGAAACUAGCAAACUAGAGUGUGUGAGAGGAAAGCGGAAUUCCAGGUGAAGGAGUGAAAUGCGUAGAUAUAUGGAGGAACAUCAGUGGCGAAGGCGACUAUCUGGCACAUAACUGACGCUGAGGGGCGAAAGCGUGGGUAGCAAACAGGAUUAGAUACCCUUGUAGUC
rnacentral:rRNA from 1 species